AUUGAACGCUGGCGGCACGCCUAACACAUGCAAGUCGAAUGAGCGAAUAUGAGGAAGAAGAAGGGCUUCGGUCUGGGAAAAGAAUUAUGUGAGCGAGUGGCGAACGGGUGAGUAAAACGUAGGAAUUUGCCAUUAAGAGGGGGACAACCACAGGAAACUGUGGCUAAAACCGCAUAGAAACUCUGAGGAGGAAAAGAUGGGAUUCGAAAGAAGCAUCUGCUUGAUGAAAAGCCUACGAUGGAUUAGCUAGUUGGAAGGGUAAAGGCCUCCCAAGGCGACGAUCCAUAGCUGGUUUGAGAGGACGAUCAGCCACACUGGAACUGAGACACGGUCCAGACUCCUACGGGAGGCAGCAGUGGGGAAUAUUGGACAAUGGGGGAAACCCUGAUCCAGCGAUGCCGCGUGUGUGAAGAAGGCCUACGGGUUGUAAAGCACUUUCGUUGGGGAGGAAAAGCUAUUUAUGAAAAGUAAGUAGAAGAGACGUUACCCAAAGAAGAAGCACCGGCCAACUCUGUGCCAGCAGCCGCGGUAAUACAGAGGGUGCAAGCGUUAAUCGGAAUGACUGGGCGUAAAGGGCGCGUAGGCGGUAGGAGAAGUUGUAUGUGAAAUAUCCGGGCUUAACCUGGAGAAGUCAUGCAAAACUGGCUUACUAGAGAGCAGUAGAGGGGAGUGGAAUUUCCAGUGUAGCGGUAGAAUGCGUAGAUAUUGGAAGGAACACCAGUGGCGAAGGCGGCUCCCUGGGCUGUAACUGACGCUGAAGUGCGAAAGCAUGGGGAGCAAACAGGAUUAGAUACCCUGGUAGUCCAUGCUGUAAACGAUGAAGAUUAGCUGUUGGGUUGAAAGAGUCAGUAGCGAAGUUAACACGAUAAAUCUUCCGCCUGGGGAUUACGACCGCAAGGUUAAAACUCAAAGGAAUUGACGGGGGCCCGCACAAGCGGUGGAGUAUGUGGUUUAAUUCGAUGCAACGCGAAGAACCUUACCUACCCUUGACAUCCUAUGAAGUACCAAGAGAAAGGUAUGUGCCCGAAAGGGAACAUAGAGACAGGUGCUGCAUGGCUGUCGUCAGUUCGUGUCGUGAGAUGUUGGGUUAAGUCCCGUAACGAGCGCAACCCUUGUUCUUAGUUACCAACUUUGUAAAAAGGGGACUCUAAGAAGACUGCCACUGAUAAGGUGGAGGAAGGUGGGGACGACGUCAAGUCAUCAUGGCCUUUAUGGGUAGGGCUACACACGUGCUACAAUGGAUAGUACAAAGGGAAGCGAACCUGCGAAGGUAAGCAGAACUCAAAAAGCUAUUCGUAAUCCGGAUUGGAGUCUGCAACUCGACUCCAUGAAACUGGAAUCGCUAGUAAUCGCGGAUCAGCAAGCCGCGGUGAAUACGUUCUCGGGCCUUGUACACACCGCCCGUCACACCAUGGGAGUGUGUUGUACCAGAAGUAGGUAGACUAACCUUCGGGAGGUCGCUUACCACGGUAUGAUACAUAACUGGGGUG
rnacentral:rRNA from 1 species